rnacentral:rRNA from 1 species
GAUGAACGCUGGCGGCGUGCCUAAUACAUGCAAGUCGAGCGAACAGACGAUGAGCUUGCUCCUCUGACGUUAGCGGCGGACGGGUGAGUAACACGUGGAUAACCUACCUAUAAGACUGGGAUAACUUCGGGAAACCGGAGCUAAUACCGGAUAAUAUAUUGAACCGCAUGGUUCAAUAGUGAAAGACGGUUUUGCUGUCACUUAUAGAUGGAUCCGCGCCGCAUUAGCUAGUUGGUAAGGUAACGGCUUACCAAGGCAACGAUGCGUAGCCGACCUGAGAGGGUGAUCGGCCACACUGGAACUGAGACACGGUCCAGACUCCUACGGGAGGCAGCAGUAGGGAAUCUUCCGCAAUGGGCGAAAGCCUGACGGAGCAACGCCGCGUGAGUGAUGAAGGUCUUCGGAUCGUAAAACUCUGUUAUUAGGGAAGAACAAAUGUGUAAGUAACUAUGCACGUCUUGACGGUACCUAAUCAGAAAGCCACGGCUAACUACGUG